ensembl:miRNA gga-mir-7475 gga-mir-7475
CCGCCGCCGCCGCGCCCUCCGCACCGCGGCCGGCAGCGCUGUGAGGACGGGCGGGUGGGCGCGGU